CCUCCGGUUCUUGGCAGGCCCGGCGCGCCGUGCCCGGCUCUGUAUGGGCGGAGGUAGAGCAGCGACCGGCGCGGCGUCUUCGGUACCCGCGGCGCUCCGCGGGGUUCUGCCCUCCCGAGCCGGGACAAGC
rnacentral:snoRNA from 1 species